rnacentral:rRNA from 1 species
UACGUAGGGGUCAAGCGUUGUCCGGAGUUACUGGGCGUAAAGCGCUCGCAGGCGGUGCGAUGCGUCGGCAGUGCCAGCUCUGUGCUUCACACAGGGAGUGCUGCCGAAACGGUCACACUUGAGGGUCAGAGAGGGACAUGGAACUCCGGGUGGAGUGGUGAAAUGCGUAGAGAUCCGGAAGAACACCAAAGGCGAAGGCAGUGUCCUGGCUGACUCCUGACGCUGAGGAGCGAGAGCUAGGGGAGCGAACAGG